UUGAAAAAUACUAGGAAACACACUCGCUUCAGCCUGCACCAACCAAAAUGACUGCUCAAAGGCCAUUCAGCCCCUUUAUCACUGUGGCUCAACUUUGAUUUUCUUCCCAGUUCAUCCAUGAUUCAGACUUCUUCUGUUUCAGGAGCUUUGCCCAUGCGUUCUGCCACCUUCUGCCAGGAAUUACACCUGUCCCAUCCCGUCGUCUCCUGAAUGUCCAGAGACAGGGGUCUCCCCGUGUUGUCCAGAACGGUCUUGAACUCCUGGUCUUCAAGCAAUCUUCCUGCCUUGGUCUCUCAAAGUGCUGGGAUUACAAGUGUGAGCCACCAUACCCGGUCAUAGCGCUCUUAUAAAAUGCAUCAUCACAUUUAUUUUAUAAAUUCAGAAACAAAAGUCUGUAUAGAGAAGUUUUGAAGUUACUAGGGACCUGAAAAUCAUACUGAAGAUGUCUGCAACUAAAAACUCGAAGAGUUCCGAGGCUAGAGGGGUCAGGAGAUGAAUAAAAACGUUAGCCCCAGCUGAUCACAAUGAGGUUAAUCACAAUACUAAUUAAAAAUACUACAGAUCCUAGGACAAUGGUCAGAAGAGUGACUAUACUUUCCUGUUUGCCCUUGGAAAAUCGAGGGCUGACUUUUCUACGUGCUCAGAUAACCUAAAUUGAUAGAGAGAAAGCUAGCAGAGGAUAAGAUAAACUAGUUAACUGUAAAUAAGAUUUUGCUGUUGGAGAAUCUUCUUGUUGCUCUGGUUUUAGAUAGCGGAGGAAGCCAAAAAAUAUCUGCUUUAAGUUACCAGGAGUUGAAGUUCAUCCCUGCUGAAGUUAACAGGUUGCUUCCCUUUUUCUGGUGUAUUCUUACUUUACUGGCAAAGAGAAAAUAAAUUAAUACCUUAUUGUUAAAA
rnacentral:lncRNA from 1 species